rnacentral:rRNA from 1 species
CCUACGGGAGGCAGCAGUGGGGAAUUUUGGACAAUGGGGGCAACCCUGAUCCAGCAAUGCCGCGUGAGUGAAGAAGGCCUUCGGGUUGUAAAGCUCUUUUGUCAGGGAAGAAACGGCAGUUUCUAAUACAGACUGCUAAUGACGGUACCUGAAGAAUAAGCACCGGCUAACUACGUGCCAGCAGCCGCGGUAAUACGUAGGGUGCAAGCGUUAAUCGGAAUUACUGGGCGUAAAGCGUGCGCAGGCGGUUAUAUAAGUCAGAUGUGAAAUCCCCGGGCUCAACCUGGGAACUGCAUUUGAGACUGUAUGGCUAGAGUGUGUCAGAGGGGGGUAGAAUUCCACGUGUAGCAGUGAAAUGCGUAGAUAUGUGGAGGAAUACCGAUGGCGAAGGCAGCCCCCUGGGAUAACACUGACGCUCAUGCACGAAAGCGUGGGGAGCAAACAGGAUUAGAUACCCUGGUAGUCCAGCCCUUAAACGAUGUCUACUAGUUGUCGGGUUACUUAAUUGUACUUGGUAACCGCGAGACGUAACGUACGUACGUAAGGUAAGGAACCGGACCGUACGGGGUAGGGUAACGGGUUACGGUACGAAGAAGUUAAAACGUUAAAAGGUUAAAGUUAAGUUACGGACGUUGAGAGAGCGACGGACGACGACGAGGGAGGAGG